UGGCUCAGGAUGAACGCUAGCGGCAGGCUUAACACAUGCAAGUCGAGGGGCAGCGUGGAGUAGCAAUACUCUGACGGCGACCGGCGAAAGGGUGAGUAACGCGUGAGCAACAUGCCCGAUACUGGAGGAUAGUCGAUGGAAACGUCGCGUAAUACUCCGUAACAUAGGGGACCGCAUGAUUCUCUAUUAAUAGAUUUAUCGGUAUCGGAUUGGCUCGCGUACCAUUAGCUAGUUGGCGGGGUAACGGCCCACCAAGGCGACGAUGGUUAGGGGUUCUGAGAGGAAGGUCCCCCACAUUGGAACUGAGACACGGUCCAGACUCCUACGGGAGGCAGCAGUGAGGAAUAUUGGACAAUGGCCGAGAGGCUGAUCCAGCCAUGCCGCGUGCGGGAGGACGGCCCUAUGGGUUGUAAACCGCUUUUGUUGGGGAGCAAUAAGGGUCACGUGUGACCUGAUGAGAGUACCCAGCGAAUAAGCAUCGGCUAACUCCGUGCCAGCCGCCGC
rnacentral:rRNA from 1 species